rnacentral:rRNA from 1 species
GACAGAGGUGCCGAGCGUUAGGCGGAAUCACUGGGCUUAAAGCGUGUGUAGGUGGAUGCCUAAGUACCUUGUGAAAUCCCACGGCUUAACCGUGGAACUGCUUGGUAUACUGGGUGUCUUGAGCCAGCUAGGGGCUACCGGAACAAAUGGUGGAGCGGUGAAAUGCGUAGAUAUCAUUUGGAACGCCAAUGGUGAAAACAGGUAGCUGGGAGUGUGCUGACGCUGAGACACGAAAGCCAGGGGAGCGAACGGG